AUGCAUGCGGCACUUGGUUGUGAACUUCAAGAAAAAAAUCAUGCUAAAGGUUUUGAUGACCAUUUGUGGCCAGUUGCUUAUUCAUGGACUCCUCGAAGUGUAGACUAUCACAUGGCAGCCAUAGAGGAUAAAAAAAGCUGCUGCAAUAGCAUACUUAAACAACUACCACAACAGGCUAGGGUCAAGGAGCAAAUAUUCAACCUCCUCAAAAGUGGAUUAUGUGACAAAUAA
rnacentral:rRNA from 1 species